AACAAGGACCAGUUUAUACAAAUAACAAUAGAAAAUAAUAAAAUUGUUUUACAACAUUAAAUUUGCACCUGUAUCAUGUUCAUUCAUUGAUUUCAAUAUGAUGAUGCAGAGGAAGAAAAUUGAAGUUCUCAUGCUUCAAUAUAUUAAUUGACAGCACUUCUACUCUAGUUUUGCAAGGUGCAAAUGUCAGUCAAAAGUCCAUACGAUUAGCAUGGUUUAAAAUAUGAAAGGACCCAAGACUUGUUCUUGUAUACACAUAAAGCUAUUCAAAUUAAAACAUCAAUUUUCAAUUAUUAGAGAAAUAAUUAUUAGAGAAGUUUCUGCAUGCACAAGAGUAACAAUUCACACCAUGAGUUAAGUAAGACAAAGGUAAGCAUCAAGUUGCAGGUGGACCACAUGUAGGAUUUCAGCAGACAUUUGAAUCUACUGUCAUCUAGCAGAAAAUUCAAAACCAUCAAAACAAAUACCACUUGUGCUAAUGUGUUUUGCUACCCAUAACCAACCAUGUUUAUAUUUUGUGAUUGUUUGGUCCAAGGAACACCAUGUAAAAUAUUUUUCCAAUUCUGCAAUGAAUUUGUCGAGUUCGUGUUCAAGGAUCUCAAGGGCAUAUUUGGAUAGAGCACUUUUUACUACAAUAGAAACUGCCUUGUGACAUAUGUGACUAAGAACAUGGAGAUAUUUGGCCACAGCCAGCAAAGAAACCGAUGUAGUCUCCAGAGAUGAUGCUAUGUGCCUGAGAAGUGUUAUCCAUGACAUGACCUUCCCUCUGUGGGUGGGGGCAGCCUGUUGUAUUGCUCUUUGGUGUUCGUCAUCAUUUCUCUAGAUGAACAAGAACUUGGAGAUAUUUGGCCUCACCCUCACCGUGCUUGGUCUCUUCCUCUCUGCCUAGCAUUUGUCCGAUUACUCACGGUUAGGUAUUUUUUAUUUGAGCUAAUUGAGCGUUGUUGCAUGUUUGGGCAUGACACUGACGCUACAAGAUAUUGUGAUGUGUCUGUUAUUGUGGAGAUAUCAAAUUUAAACAAAGUCAAAGAGAGUUAUACAGAGGACUUACUUCUGGUGAUUUGCCUGCAUAAACUCCUGAUAAUUUUAGUUAUCUUUUGCUAGUACACACAAUGAUGCCUUUUAGAUGUUUAUGCUGCUGAUAAAAGGAAGAUAAACAAUAUUCUUUUGAUCUAUGAUUAUUAAUUUGUUUCAACGAAAGCUUCUGACUUUAGUUUUUCUUGCCCUUUUUUUUGUAAAUUUUAGAAUCCUAAAAGAAAGGUACACAAGCCUGUUAAAAAAGGUGCAUUGAAUUGGAGGUUGACAAGCUUCAUACUUCACUCGUUGAUGUGGGCAAUCUCUGAUCGUGGAAGCAUAAUCGUUGACUCAAAUGAUGAUGGAAUGUGUCAAUUCCAGUUGGAGAACAUCAUCCUGAUUUUAGUGACCAUGCUGAGUUUCCAAAGGAACAAGGUCAAACUCUUGAAAAGUAUGCUCACACAAAUUGCAGUUGGAGCUAGAAUGGCUUGCUACCAUGAUGAAGUUAAACUUUGCCUUCUUUCUAUUUUGACACCCCAAUACCAUCUCUUGUUUAUCUUUUUUUCGUGUCAAACUUCUGAUGAAA